rnacentral:rRNA from 1 species
UACGGAGGAUGCGAGCGUUAUCCGGAUUUAUUGGGUUUAAAGGGUGAGUAGGCGGCAUGGUAAGCCAGAUGUGAAAGCCUUGGGCUUAACCCGAGGAUUGCAUUUGGAACUAUCAAGCUAGAGUACAGGAGAGGAAAGCGGAAUUCCUAGUGUAGCGGUGAAAUGCGUAGAUAUUAGGAAGAACACCAGUGGCGAAGGCGGCUUUCUGGACUGAAACUGACGCUGAGGCACGAAAGCGUGGGGAGCGAACAGG